UUUAAUUGUUUUUAUCAUUUAGGUUGGCGUCUGCGUGGCUUGAUAAGUUCGUGCAUGAUAAAUAUCGACUUUCCUACAUCAAGAAACUCCACACAUUGAUGAAGGCGGGCUAUCAAAGUGAAGAGAAAAGUGAAGAGGAAGUGACGUUCAGAACUUUCCUUCAUUGCAUUCAACAGCAAAAAUGGGACAACCCUCAUUGGACAUCAGUCUUUAGACUCUGCCAACCCUGUCAGGUUGGCUAUGACUUUGUAGCUCACACAAAUAGCAUUGCUGCUGAUAUUUCACUACUUUUAAAAAAAAUCGGAAUCACGUCUGAGGAAUAUGCACUUCCGCAACAACGGACUACACGGGGGAACAGUGCGAUAGCAAGGAUGUAUCGACAAGUUCCUGUGAAGGAACUACUACAUUUGAGGGACAUUUACCGACAGGACUUUGAUAUGUUUGGAUACUCUUUUGAGCAGGACCUUUAUAAGAUAAAAAUGGUUCGUUUAAAAAAUGAUUUUAAAAAUCGAACUGCUGUCUGAUA